CCGAGCCCUCAUCCACUCCACUCUUCUUCUCUCGCGCCCGACGCCGGCCCUAACCGCCGGCCGGCGGUUUCUUCCUCCCGAGCCGCACACCCGAAGACCUUUUCUUCAUCUUCUUCUCCACCCGAGCCGAAGCUUUCCCCUGCCCUAAAAUCGCCGAAAGCUUGCUCUAUGCCCACUGGUGCCGACGCCGAGCACUGCCGCUCUUCCUCAGCCCUAGCCGCCGCACGGGACAUUGCCGGCCACCAGGACCGACCCAGGCCGCUGUCGCCGUGGGGAUCCCAGCGCCGCCGACGCCCUUCUCCCGUUUCUCUCUGCCCUAGUUUUGCACAGUGUCACCGCUACCACAACCGGCAACCGGCUGUCCUCCCUCUGCCGACGCCGACUCCUCCACUGUGCAGUGCCUAGCCGACUCCUUCCUUUGUCCUAGGUUCCCUCUUGUUGCUGGAUCCGAACCCUAACUCCUCUGGGUUGGGUUGUGGUCAGCCUACCCGACUGGUAAUUUUUCCUACUGCGCCACCAGCUGCCUUCUUCCUGCUUCGCCACCAGCUGCCGGCAGAGAGAAAAACAAGGGCUAUCGAGUUGGCAGCUUCUCCGGAUCUUGGCAGUAAGUUCUAUAGGUUUUGAGCAGUGUUGAGGCAUCAGGGAAUUUGGGUAAGGUUGGUGUUAAGUUAAUUACUGUUGAGACAUUGUUGGAGAAAGCCCUAAUCGCUGUGAUCUUCCUUUUGUGUGAUCCAGAGGACCUUGACGCGAGACAAGUUUCUUAACGUCCGGAUUUGGACUGAUUGGAUCUUUCC